GUGCUUUUCGUUUAAGAUCAACGUUGCAUUUCGAUACUGCGUUCAAUUGCGUUCUGAACUUUGGCGAGUAAACAACUUGAGCGGUUGAACGACGAUUAACGCGUCGCUGCGUUUAGUAAAACGACAUAAUUACAACAACAAUCAAUUUGAUAUUUAACAAAAAAAUUAGUUUGAAUAGAAACAUUUUUACAGUGUUCAAUUAUGGUUUUGCUGCGAGUUAUCAAAUAUCUAGUGGGCUGUGUGGUGCGGCUGUGCGAGGGGCUGAACCAGAGCGUUCUGUCUUGGAAAUUGCUUAAAUAUCGCAUGUUGCAACAAAGUUGACUAGGAGGCGUUUGCGGGUGGAGUCAGCGCAGUCUAAUUUGUCUUACUUUUGUUGGCGAUGAUGAGCUGUUGAAUAUCUUCGAAAAUUUAUAGAUGCGCUGAAGUUAUUUUAAGUUCGUUGCUUAAGUCUUUUGUAUGAAGAGUUUCAUUAUGGAAGUGUGUUAGUAAAAAAACUUUUAAUUUUCUUCGUUUUAUGAAAAAAAGCACGCCAUUGUACUUAUAUUUUUGUUUUCUUCUAAUUGGAGUCAGCGGUAAAAAUCAAAUAUAUUUAUAUCGCCUCAAAAUUAAUAAUACUUUAUUAUUGUCAAUUGUAUCUACAAAAAAAAUCAAAAUUUGUUCUCCUUUCUAAAAUCCUCCUUCUAUUAUUAUAAUUUUUUAAAAGUUUUCUAAACAUUUUUUGAUAGACGAAAUAAUAAAAAAAAUCAAACGACAAUAAAAAAAUGGCUGCUUUUUCAUUUAAUUCACUAAAAAUUAAAAAAAUAAUGCUAAAUAUUUUAUACAAAAAUUAUAAUUAUUGCUAUUUUAAGUAAAAAAUAUAUUAUUCGUCACCACAACUUUUGAUACUAAAGAAAUUUUAAACUAAUUUUUUAAGAAUAUUUAUUUUUAAUUCGGGCAUGCUCAUGUAUAAAAUAUAAGUGACUAUGUAUAAAUAAUUAUAAUUAAAAUAAAGGUUCAUAUAUUCCAUUA